UUCAAAUCCAAACUUUAUUAACCCCUCCGGUCGGAGACACUGAGCUGCGGUCUAGCCCAUGUGACGCUCAGACACGGGGGGGACGGAGGCUGUGUGGGGGAGGAGGAAUGUGCGCCCAUGUGAGAGAGAGUUAUGAAGUGCUUAGGAACUCACUUAUGAGGGACUGAAUCGUGGUGUGUCCUUACGUUGGUUCACACAGCCUGUGAGUGAGGGAGUGAGUCUGAAAUGCAUCUUUCUGUAUUUAGAAAUAUGUGUUCAUGCGCGUAUGUGUCUUGAAGAGAGAGUGAGUGAGGGAGUUUGUGAACCAGUGAGUGAGCUUUAGAAACACAUCUAUUUCGCAAAAUACUUCUGUGUGUUGAUGCUUGGAUUGUGUUUGAAAAGAGAGAGGGAGUGAGGGGGUUUAGAAACACAACUAUUUUGAUUUUCUAUGUAUUCAUGCCUGUUGAUGUUUGGAAGAGCGAGGGAGUGAGGGGGUUACAAGAAUCGCAUCACUUUCUAUGUAUUUCUAUUUAUGUGCUCAUGCCCAUUGCUGAGAAGAGAGUGAGGAAGUGAGUCAGCAAGAAGUGAGUGGGUGAGUUCAGAAACAGAUUUCUUUAUGUGUGUGUGUGUGUGUGUGUGUGUGUGUGUGUGUGUGUGUGUGUGUGUGUGUGUGUGUGUGUGUGUGUGUGUGUGUGUGUGUGUGUGUGUGUGUGUGUGU